rnacentral:lncRNA from 8 species
AUGUGUUUUACAGAACAAACCUGUUUCACCUCCUCCCCAAUGGAUAUGUAUCUGGGAAACUCUAGUCUUCCCAAAGGAGUGAAUCCUCACUCCAUGAAAGCAGAAAGUCUAGCAGGUCUAGGCGGCAGGUAUCCCAAGCUAUUUUACCCUGCUGGGAUCACCACAACGCCUCCAUACGAGAGGCCAGGAUCGCUCCCUCCCUCACACUUCACCCACAAGGCACCGAUGGCUGCGUCAUUCGAUGUUGACAGGCAGCAAUUUACCCCUACCCUAUUGACAUUGUUUUAAAAGACAAACAAAAAAGAAGAUUUCAGCGUAGAAAAAUAAUGGAAAAGUCUUUUAAUUCUUUCUUUAUCCUUCAUUUCAUCCUGUUCUUGUAACGAUGUGUGCUGAGAGUCAGGAAGCAAGUACAGGGAGUGAGUGUUUUAAUCAAUAAACGAAACAAUAACCACGAACCACAAACAAUGCACCGACAUGAAACACAGUCAAUAACACCUGAGGAAAGAACCAAGGGGAGUGACAGAUAUAGGGAAGAUAAUCAAAGAGGUGAUGGAGUCCAGGUGAGUGUCAUGAGGCGCUGGUGCGCUUGACGAUGGUGACAGGUGUGUGGGAUAAUCAGCAGCCUGGUGACCUAGAGGCCUGUCGUAGGAAGGAGCGGACCAAAGUGCAGCGUGUGUGUCGUUCCACAUUUUAUUUUUACUGUGAAACUAUGCAAUACAUAUAAAUAAACUGAAUAACAAAACAACAAACCAUGACGCAGAGGUGAACCAUACACUAACUCAAAGACAAUCUCCCACAAACCCAUGUGGAAAAAAACCCUACUUAAGUAUGCUCUCCAAUUAGAGACAACGACGACCAGCUGCCUCAAAUUGGAGAUCAUCCCAAACAAAACCCAACAUAGAAAUACAAAAACUAGAACAUGUCAACAUAGAAAAACUAAACUAGAACACCCCCUGUCACGCCCUGACCUACUCUACCAUAGAAUAUAACAGCUUUCUAUGGUCAGGACGUGA